rnacentral:tRNA from 1 species
AUUUAUAUAGUUUAAUAAACUUUAUAUUUUCAUUAUAAAAUUGGAAAUUAUAAUUUCCUAUAAACU